GCGAGAGAACUGUAAGCAUAAACAAAGAGUGAAAAUAAGCUUUUCUAACGAAAACAUUGAAAAGGUUUAUCGAACAAAUAAUAAUGCAAAGACCGCGCAAUAUCACCGGGAUUCCUGUCUUUCCCAGCGGACGCAGUGUAACAAUUUCACCGAAUCCUUGUUUUGGUCCAAGCCGCCACAACCUCAGCCCAUGCUUCGCACCAGCUCCUCAACUACAGCCCCAGCCAAACCCCUGCUUCGUAACAGCGUCCUAUCUGCGUAAUACUUACCUUCAACAGAUGACGAACCAAGUUCCACGAUACGAUCCUUGUUUCAAAUGAUUUGUUUAUUAAACCCAACCUUAGUUGAAUCUCGGAAACCAUUUAGUGUGUGAGCAUGUUAUAUUAUGUAUCGCUAUAAUAUUAUUAUUAAGUGACCCGUUUUAUAAUAAAAAUAUUUUAAUUUAUAUAA